GUGCUAGCUUUGGUAGCACUUAUACUAAAAUUGGAAUGAUACAGAGAAGAUUAGCAUGGCCCCUGCGCAAGGAUGAUGCAAAUUCAUGAAGCGUUUCAUAUAAAA